UACGUAGGGGGCAAGCGUUGUCCGGAAUCAUUGGGCGUAAAGCGCGUGUAGGCGGCUCGGUAAGUCCGCUCUGAAAGUCCGGGGCUCAACCCCGGGAGGCGGGUGGAUACUGUCGAGCUAGAGUCCGGAAGAGGCGAGUGGAAUUCCUGGUGUAGCGGUGAAAUGCGCAGAUAUCAGGAGGAACACCAAUGGCGAAGGCGGAUCUCUGGGCCUUACCUGACGCUCAGGCGCGAAAGCUAGGGGAGCGAACAGG
rnacentral:rRNA from 1 species